rnacentral:rRNA from 1 species
GAGCGCCCCGCAAGGGGAGCGGCAGACGGGAGAGUAACACGUGGGAACGUACCCUUCGGUUCGGAACAACCCAGGGAAACUUGGGCUAAUACCGGAUACGUCCGUAAGGAGAAAGAUUUAUCGCUGAAGGAUCGGCCCGCGUCUGAUUAGCUUGUUGGUGAGGUAACGGCUCACCAAGGCGACGAUCAGUAGCUGGUCUGAGAGGAUGAUCAGCCUCACUGGGACUGAGACACGGCCCAGACUCCUACGGGAGGCAGCAGUGGGGAAUAUUGGACAAUGGGCGCAAGCCUGAUCCAGCCAUGCCGCGUGGGUGAUGAAGGCCUUAGGGUUGUAAAGCCCUUUCGGCGGGGAAGAUAAUGACGGUACCCGCAGAAGAAGCCCCGGCUAACUUCGUG